UACGUAGGGGGCUAGCGUUGUCCGGAAUCAUUGGGCGUAAAGCGCGUGUAGGCGGUCCGGUAAGUCCGCUGUGAAAGUCGGGGGCUCAACCCUCGAAUGCCGGUGGAUACUGUCGGGCUAGAGUGCGGAAGAGGCGAGUGGAAUUCCUGGUGUAGCGGUGAAAUGCGCAGAUAUCAGGAGGAACACCAGUGGCGAAGGCGGGUCUCUGGACAGUUCCUGACGCUGAGGCGCGAAGGCCAGGGGAGCAAACGGG
rnacentral:rRNA from 1 species